rnacentral:rRNA from 1 species
UACGGAGGGUGCAAGCGUUAAUCGGAAUUACUGGGCGUAAAGCGUGCGUAGGUGGUUCGUUAAGUCCGUUGUGAAAGCCCCGAGCUCAACUUGGGAAUUGCAGUGGAUACUGGCGAGCUGGAGUGCGGUAGAGGAAGGUGGAAUUCCCGGUGUAGCGGUGAAAUGCGCAGAUAUCAGGAGGAACACCUAUAGCGAAGGCAGCUUGCUGGGACGUUACUGACGCUAAGGCGCGAAAGCGUGGGGAGCGAACAGG